rnacentral:misc_RNA from 1 species
AUGAAUGCUUUUGGAGAAGGGUUGCUGCUGGCUGUAACAAGCAUGUGCACGCUCUUUUCUGAAUCCCUCUUCAUCCACCUGUGCACCGUUUGGCUCUUUUAAAAGACGUAAGUCUGCAAAGAGAGUCAUCAAUUUUAUACAUACCCCAGUCUUAUGAAUGUAACAGUUUUAAUAAACAAAAUA